UACGUAGGGGGCAAGCGUUGUCCGGAAUCACUGGGCGUAAAGUGUGCGCAGGCGGCCGCGCAAGUCGAGUGUGAAAGCCCCGGGCUUAACUUGGGAAUUGCGCUCGAAACUACGUGGCUGGAGUGUGGCAGAGGAAGGUGGAAUUCCACGUGUAGCGGUGAAAUGCGUAGAGAUGUGGAGGAACACCAAUGGCGAAGGCAGCCUUCUGGGCCAACACUGACGCUCAUGCACGAAAGCGUGGGGAGCAAACAGG
rnacentral:rRNA from 1 species